GCCAGUCUAACCUGUUAGUCCCAACCUGUCUGCAUUGCAACCUGCUUCCUGCUCUGUUUGGUAUGAGAUUCUACUACUACUCUGCACUGUAAUGUGGAGCUCCGAUAGAAGAGUCACAGAGCUAAAAUGACAGAAGAUACAUCGAGGGUCAGAUUCCUUCCAGUCAUCACGUUAGGAGGAAGAGCGGGAAAUGCACUUACUGGAAGCAGUUGUGGAACAGGGAGGGAGUAUUGUUUCUGCCGCAGUCAGCGCUCACAGACAUAGUACGUACAGAACGCCCGGGGCCCUGGUGAUGGCGCAGUGCAAGACAAACGUGCGAGUCCAACAUCCCUAUCGGGUUCAUUGUCAGCGUGAUCCUGUCACUUCAUUUCCAUUGUGUUCUGGGACAUACGGACCGACAGGAGCUGAGCGAGAUCAGUCUGUGCUGCCUCCCCGAGAUGUUGGGCUCAUUGCCUUGUGAAUGGACGAGCAAUUCCUGGAAAGCGCUGCUUAAUAAUGUAAAUAUAGGGUAAUCAUUUGUAGCACAAAAGUCAUGUAAUGCGGCAGUCCCCAACCACCGGGCUACCUGGUCUCCCAUCGAUAUUAAUAACAAUAAAAAUA